CACGACCGCCGCUGUUAUNACAGCCUAAUACAUGCAAGUCGAGCGAACAGAAAAGGGGCUUGCUCCUUUGACGUAGCGGCGGACGAGUGAGUAACACGUGGGCAACCUACCUUAUAGUUGGGAUAACUCCGGGAAACCGGGGCUAAUACCGAAUAAUCUAUUUCACUUCAUGGUGAAAUACUGAAAGACGGUUUCGGCUGUCGCUAUAAGAUGGGCCCGCGGCGCAUUAGCUAGUUGGUGAGGUAACGGCUCACCAANGCGACGAUGCGUAGCCGACCUGAGAGGGUGAUCGGCCACACUGGUGACUGAGACACGGCCCAGACUCCUACGGGAGUGCAGCAGUAGGGAAUCUUCCACAAUGGGCGAAAGCCUGAUGGAGCAACGCCGCGUGAGUGAAGAAGGUUUUUCGGAUCGUAAAACUCUGUUGUAAGGGAAGAACAAAGUACAGUAGUAAACUGGCUGUACCUUGACGGUACCUUAUUAGAAAGCCACCGGCUAACUACGUGCCAGCAGCCGCGGUAAUACGUAGGUGGCAAGCGUUGUCCGGAAAUUAUUGGGGCAGUUAAAAAGCGCGCGCCAAGNGCGGGNUCCCUUUUAAAGGUCCUUGAUGUGGAAAAAGACCCAACGGGGUCAAACCNGUUGGNAAGGGGUCCAAUUGGAAAACUUGG
rnacentral:rRNA from 1 species